CUGGUAUUGUGAAACUUGGGCAUUUCAAGUUUCAUAAUGUUACAGUCCAAUAUCAGGAAUAAAAAUAUUUUCUGCCAAAAUAUUCCAGGACUAUAAAUAGUUUUCUGAAUUAAAUUAAUUCAUUAUUCACAAUUCCAAAUAGAGAAAAGCCAUAUUCUCUCUGACGGAUCUUCGGGUUUUCAUCCCAUAUUGUGAGUUUACUUUUCUAAGUGUGUUUCAAUACUUGUUAGAUGCUUAUUAACACAAAUUACAUGUCUAGAUAUCAAGAUCCGGGAGUUUACCGCCCAAGAACGUUCUUGGGGAGUAAACUCCAAAAUGGAACAUAAAUGCUUCCUAGUCCCAAUUCCUUGUUAGAAGACUUGUUUAGGAGAUAGGGUAUGAUCUUUAUAGGCCAAGAAACAUCCAAGAAACAUAAGUUCUAGGAGUUUACGGCCAAGGAACUCCCUUGGGCCGUAAACCCCUUUUCAAGGGCUUAAAUGCCCUAAAACUUUCCCCAAAUGCUUAAGGACUUUAACUACUAGUACUUGUGCUUGUUUAGAACACCAAAAGCUCAUCAAAAUCACAAGUUAGUAGGAGUUUACGGCCAAGAACUCCUCUUGGGCCGUAAACCCCUUUUUGUGGGACAAAAAUCAUUCCAAGCAACCCUUAAGCCUUUAGACAAUUUACCUUGAACCCUUGGGACUAGAAUGGAGAGUAUAACACAUAAAAACCACUCCUUGAAAGGAGUUUACGGCCAAGGAACAUGUCUUGGGCCGUAAACUCCAAGUGAAGGCACCAAAGUGUGCCUCUUGUCCCCAUAAGCCUUAGAUAAAUUCAUGAAAGCAAUCCUUGUUGUUUAAGUGCUUCAAAUCAAUUAAAAUCCAAGAGUUUACGGCCGUAAACUCUAGGAUGAAGGACUUUAGGCCGUAAACUCCCUUAUGGAGUGUUCUAGAGCCUUAAAACUACUUCAUGUAUUAUUCCAACAAAGCUAGGAGUGUUCUAGAUGCAAGAUAACACCACAAAACACCCAAAACAACCCUUUGAGGAGUUCACGGCCAUAAACCUAUGAGUUUACGGCCGUAAACUCCAAGGUGUGGGGUUUGUUGGGUGGUGAACUCCUAUACAAGGCCCUUUGAUGUUUCAAACCCUUUUGCCUUGUCCCGUAGCAACUUAGAUGCAACCAUUUGAACCAUAAACACUCAUAAAAGUGUUUAAAUGUUUUCUAAGUGUCUUAACUUAUUUAUUUAAGUUAUUAUAUGUCUAAUUAGUUAUAUAUAUGCUUAUUAUAUGAUAACUAGGCUCGUGCGUGUAAACCAGUCUCCGUUUGCCACCUAGCACGGUAGCCGACACUGCAAUUCAAACGACUCACCACAAGUGAGUUCAUACCCCUUGAAUCAACCUUUGAAAUGAUUUUAAGUGUUUUAAAUACUUUAUGGGGGGGAAUACAAGUCAAAUACUUAUAAGUUAUUGCUUCAAUCACAUGUGAUUGCAUUUAAUCACAUGUGAUUAAUAACUAGGAAAACAACGAUUUUUACCACUGUUCAAACUGUUUUUCAAACUGCUUUACUAUUGAAAUGUUUUACAAACUGUUUUACUAUCCAAACUUAUUUAUAGACUGUGAUUCAACAAAUGCUUCUUAUACUUAAACUGUUUUAUCAACUUAUGCCUUCAAAAUGUUUUAUAGAUCGACAUCAAGUCGAUCUUCUCUUGAAAUUAUAUUACUGCUUCAAAUGUUUUAUGAAAACUUAUUUAUGCUUUUAUAUAUCCAAUUGCAUGCCCAUAUAUGUAUAGAUAUAUAAAUAAUGUUUAAAGGGCUUAGGAAGGCCAUCCGCCCUAUUUCCUUUUCCCCGAUUUGGAUGUGGUCUGGUGGGAUUUCGGGUGACCAUCCGAAGGUCGUUUCCAUAUUACUUAUAUAUCAUAUAUACAUGUAUAGACAUAAAAGUACUUCCAUAUUCAUACUCAUCAGUACAUCAUUAGCUGGUUACCAUCGGGGUAACGCAGGAUCAUACAUAUACAGAUAUACUAGAAACAAUACAUAUACAGAUAUACUAGAAACAAUACAUAUACAGAUAUACUAGAAACAAUACAUAUACAGAUAUACUAGAAACAAUACAUAUACAGAUAUACUAGAAACAAUACAUAUACAGAUAUACUAGAAACAAUACAUAUACAGAUAUACUAGAAACAAUACAUAUACAGAUAUACUAGAAACAAUACAUAUACAGAUAUACUAGAAACAAUACAUAUACAGAUAUACUAGAAACAAUACAUAUACAGAUAUACGAGAAACAAUACAUAUACAGAUAUACGAGAAACAAUACAUAUACAGAUAUACGAGAAACAAUACAUAUACAGAUAUACGAGAAACAAUACAUAUACAUGAAUACUGAACAAUUGUGAUCCACUGUAUCGGGCAUGCCUUAAAUGUCAUGGCCCGAGUUGUAGCCAGAAUUCUCUUGGAGGGAGAGCGUGAGUUUGCGUAUAGAUCUAUACUGGAUUGACUAUCCUACACCUUGCUGCUAGCUACAGCCGGACCUGCAGGUCUGCGGGUGCCAAACGUCAUUUCUUAUUACGACCGUUCAUUAUGUCGUUGAUUAUCAGUCGAUAGCAUGGUGCAAUUUAUCACAAUAUACCUUAAUAUAAAUCCGGUUUAAGGUAGUAGUAUUUAGUACAGCAGUAGUCUUAUUAUACAAAGCUACAGUACUACAAUGAUUUACCCAUUACAUAUUUUAGUGAUAACCUCACUUAAGCAUUAAUGUACAAACUAUAUUUUUAACAGAUGAUAGUUAUAUUUGGGUAAUCACACACUUUUACAACAGAAAAGUUUACAAAACAGUCUAGCCUUGGUAGAAGGUUACUUUUAUAGAAAAUAUAGGAUUUUCUGAGUUAUUCAAACUUUUACAAACACUUUCAAACAUUUACUUACAUUUUUACAACUUAUACAUUGAGUCAGGUUCAAACGUUUUUACAAGAUACAUUGACACUAAAAUACUUAUGAACUCACCAGCUUAAUGCUGAUAAACUCUUUCAAAAUAACUUGUAUUCUCAGGUCAUCAGUAGACAGGUACCGAGGCCAGCUUUUGAGAAGAUGGAGUGCAUUCAAGACUCAUCUCAUAUUAUUUUGUGUUUCAUUAUUUUUGGUGUCUAUAACUGUACAGAACACACUUGUAUUAAAAUUAUAUAUUUAAUGCAAUGGAUGAUGUUGUUUGCUUAUUUACAUUUACUGUGUUGUGAUACUGUACAUGACGUCCUCCGCCCCGGAACGUUUCCGCCGUUCUUGGUUUUGGGGUGUGACAUGAAGGUCCGCUGGAAUGCAAAGCGGGGACCUGAAUUUACUUGGGAGAGGGAGGAUCAAUUGAAACAUAAGUAUCCUCAUCUUUUCCCGUAGUCCAUGUGUAUCUCUUAGACUUAAUUUUGGGACGAAAUUCCCUCUAACGGGGGGAUGAUGUGACAAUCCAUAAUUUUAAUCC
rnacentral:lncRNA from 1 species